AUUGAACGCUGGCGGCAGGCCUAACACAUGCAAGUCGAGUGGUUAAAGGGAACUUGCUGCUGUUUUCCUCGGCGGUGGCGGGCGUGAUGGUUAUGAAUCUGCAUCUUCCUGGUGGAGGAGGUUCGCUAACGGGCACGGUUGCCACAUCCGUCUUACGUCGGAAGGUGAAGGAGGUUCGCCUCUCGGGCUCUCAGCUGCGCCUAUGUCCAGAUGGGAUUAGCUAGUAGGUGGGGUAACGGCUCACCUAGGCGACGAUCCCUAGCUGGUCUGAGAGGAUGACCAGCCACACUGGAACUGAGACACGGUCCAGACUCCUACGGGAGGCAGCAGUGGGGAAUAUUGCACAAUGGGCGCAAGCCUGAUGCAGCCAUGCCGCGUGUAUGAAGAAGGCCUUCGGGUUGUAAAGUACUUUCAGCGGGGAGGAAGGGAGUAAAGUUAAUACCUUUGCGUAUUGACGUUACCCGCAGAAGAAGCACCGGCUAACUCCGUG
rnacentral:rRNA from 1 species